GACGAACGCUGGCGGCGUGCUUAACACAUGCAGGUCGAACGCUGAAGCUCAGCUUUUGUUGGGUGGAUGAGUGGCGAACGGGUGAGUAACACGUGAGUAACCUGCCUCCUUCUUUGGGAUAACGCCCGGAAACGGGUGCUAAUACUGGAUAUUCACUGGUCUUCGCAUGGGGGUUGGUGGAAAGGGUUUUUCUGGUGGGGGAUGGGCUCGCGGCCUAUCAGCUUGUUGGUGGGGUGAUGGCCUACCAAGGCUUUGACGGGUAGCCGGCCUGAGAGGGUGACCGGUCACAUUGGGACUGAGAUACGGCCCAGACUCCUACGGGAGGCAGCAGUGGGGAAUAUUGCACAAUGGGCGCAAGCCUGAUGCAGCGACGCAGCGUGAGGGAUGGAGGCCUUCGGGUUGUGAACCUCUUUCGCUCAUGGUCAAGCCGCAACAAUGGUUGUGGUGAGGGUAGUGGGUAAAGAAGCGCCGGCUAACUACGUG
rnacentral:rRNA from 1 species